UCUGGCUUUUUUUGCUCAACAUAAUGAUUGGGUUCAUCAAUGCUGAGUAAGUCUAUCAAUAGUUUGUUUCUUUUUAUUGCUGAGUAGUAGUAAAUUGCAUGAAUACAAUAAUCUUUUCUUUUUUAAUCUCUCCCCCAUUAACAGAUAUUUAUGGUUGUUUUCUCCAUGCAUUUUUUUAGAGGAGAGGGGCUUGCCUUUCCAACCAGCUUGUGAACGCUUGAAGGGCAAGGAUGUGUCUCACAGGCUCUGUCAUCCACCCCUGAAGCACCUUAUCCAGUGCCACUUCAGACUAGGCCCUCCAACGUGUUGGUUAAUUGAAUUAUAGUUUCGGAUAAGAUGUGGUCCCUGCCUUUAAAAAGCUUUUAAUUUAAUUAUGGAAGCAGCUACAAACAUCAAUCCAUUAUUCCAAGACAACACAUUUAUCCAUUCAUUCAGCAAGUUUUUAUUUUAGAGAAGAGAGAAAGCAUGUCCAUGCAUACCUGAAUCAUGGGGCAGAAAGUGAAAUGUGGUGCAGAGGAAAUUCAGGCGAGGAGCCACAAAAACUGAGAGCAAAGUGACUUUGCUAAGAGGCUCUGGGAAAAAUCUCAAAGGGGAGGAGCAAAUGCCCAGACCUAGGAGACUGGGCAGAAUUUGGACACAAGGAAGUCAUUGUGGGCUGACAGUACAGGGUCCAACAGAGGCAAAGAGCUGGAAAUGCAGGGAAAGAAAGGGGAACAUCCUCCUCUUCCAGCGGAGGAAGCUGGGUGAAGAAAGGAGAAGCAUUGCGCUGGUGUGGGAAGCACGGGGCCGCUAAGGUUGAAGUGAGUGGAGAUGGGAGGCGGCGGGAGUCACUAGAGGCUAGGAAGAGAGGCUCACACUACAGAGGGCCUUGAGUGCCAGGCUAGGAAAUCCAUAGGGGAAGAAGCCAAGACUCAAGGAGUUAAGAACUUUUCCAAGGGUAGCUAUUAGCCAGGACUCAAACCUACAUACUUGAAUGAAUUUCUACAACCUGUUAUUGAAGACUAAGGAGUAAGAAUUCUGCCGGAAGACUGUGUUGCCGAACCAAUCAGUUUGUCUAAAACUCUUUCACUCCCCAUCCCCAACUCCCUGUUGGCCUAGGGGCAGUCUGAGAGGGGGCUUAGAAUAAAUCAGAAGAGGGGUCUCAUUCAGAUUGUUUUGCUGUGAUCACAUGUGAGUCAGAUUUUUCUUCUGUAACAAGAGGUAGUUGAAGAGGUAAAUCCCUAAGCUUUCUGCCAUUGUAGACAGGUGUUCUUCUCUGAUCCUCAGGGCCACAGUCGGAAAGGAAGUUGUCUGCACUGAGAACCGGGAGGGAUCCCUCCGUUGCUUCCAUGAGGGUGCGGGACUCAUGGCUCUGGGCCUCCAAGGCACCACGGCCUCUGGCUCCAUUCCACCCUCCCCGCGCUCUCCUCAAACCUCAGGCUUCCUUUUUCUGCCUGCUGCAGGGCUUCUCAGCCUGGGCUGGAUCCUGGACAGACAGGCCCAGGCAGGCUGUGCACUGUGACCUGGGGCCUUGCUGUGAACAAAGAGGACUUCAAGAGGAGAUGGCCUGGAGGAGUUCGCCUUUGUGGUCAUUUUGCUUCAGCGGACCAGUCAGCAAAUAAUGACUGCCCUUGGUCAUCCCUGGGAAGAUAAAGGAUUAUUAAAAGAGGGCCCGGCAGCUUGCAGAUUACACCUGCUACAUUUGGAGUGGAAAGAGGCUUCUCUGUCAGUGCCCCUUGCCCCCAUGGAAAGACACUAAUAGCAAUCUUCAACCAUAAUUGUUUGGUCCAUUUUGUUCUGGACCAAGUUUGCAUAAGUUUUAAGCCUGAAAGUCAAAGAAAAACGAAAUCUUACACGUCAACAUGGCCUUUCCAUCACUUGAAAAAGGCACCCUCUCUCUCUCUUUCUCUCUGCCUCGUAAACACAGCGGUCUUGCUCAGAGCAAUCUUGAGCUCUGAGCUGUGAAGAAUUGCUGUAGGUAGGAAGAAACGUUGGCUCUGGAAUUCAAUUAACUGUCAGCAUUGCUGUUCGAGUCAGGAUGACUCACUCCUCUUCAGCAAAUGGGCAUGGGGGCUGUGAGCCUCCAAGAUUAAUGGUGAUUGAUAAGCCGCUGGAGCUCCAGGACGAAGCCUCCCAGAAUCCUUCCCUCACCCACACACGUUUUUACAUGAAAAUAUAAUAGAUAGUGGGAGAGGAUGUGUGAGUACAGAGGAGAUGCUGUCAAGAAUUUGCCUGUAUCCUUUUCUUUUAUAUUGGUAAGUUUCACUGGAUUCUAAGCUACUGAA
rnacentral:lncRNA from 1 species